GGGUGGAGGAAAAAAAACCUGGCAGCAUGUCUUUAUUUCAUGAGUACCCCAGGCCCAAAAUAAAGCAGGAAACGGUCUCUUGUGACUCUUCUAUUUUAAACCCUUUCCCUGUGCUGCAACCUAGCUAUGUUUCCUUAUGCCAUCCUGUCUGCUUACCUGCUUCUUGAAUGUUUCUCCAUGUACUGAAAGCUCGAGCUGUUUCUGAAAGUGAAUACAGAAGAUGCAAGUGAGGAAAAAGUUGACUUUUGACUCUUACUAGUUGGGGAUGGUGCACAAGGACCAUGGUUUUUGUCCUCCCUUUGGGCAAAGGCUGCUGUGUCACGGCCUGUCCCUGCUAGCAGACACGUACGCAGUGUACGCAGUUCGCCGGGGAGGGCUGGGACUCCUCGCCCAGGCACGGAGAGGAUUUGCUGUGCUAUUCAAUAGCCUGCAGUGAUAAAUGAGAUCUGCCCUUGGGCAGCUGGCCCACAUGCAAUGUGACAGUGCAGGGGGAUUGCACAUUUGUACUCCCCUUCCCCCUUGCGUGCUGUCUAGCACUGCAUUCGCCUCUCUCAGCUCGUUGAGAGUGUGUCCCUUCAGAUCCACAAUGCUGCUGGCCACGGUGAUGGGCGUGAGAGCAACCAAAUGCCGAAUGACGGAAGGAUAAGAUAACCUGAGCGGAGCCUUCUCAACCCUCCUCCAAAGUGAAUUCCAUCUGCUCGUCCUUACACCGGAAUGAAGACAUUGUCAACCUUUGACAAAGAAAGCUUUUCUCUAAAGUAUUUGCCUACAGUCUGAGGAUCCAGCAUCAGCAGCACAGCAGGGGCAGGCUGGCAGAGGAGGGUUCUGCUCGGCUGUGGCGGCCACGCUCCUGCAGCCAGGUCUAAUUUUAAUGUUAUUAUGAACUUCACACCAGUCAAACCUCUUGCUAAUUUGGAGCUUUGCAGCCAGCUCUGCCUGUUCCUGCAUUAGAGAUGGGGAAAGGCUGCAAAC